AGGUAAAUGAUGUGAGUGUGUUUGCAUAUUGCUCAGAUGCUUCAGUGCUCUGAGAGUGUUUAUAGUGCUGUGAGUUUAACACUUCAUCACUGACACACACAACAAUCUUCAUCAACAUGACCUUCAUCAUCAUCUUCAUCUGGACUCUCACAGCGUUUGCUCAAGAGUGUAGAGGACAGAUCAGCGUCACUCAGAGUCCCUCAACAGCAGCUCAACCAGGAGAAACAGUGAAGAUCAGCUGCAAAACCAGCACUGAUGUGUACAUAUUCCUAGGUCAAUAUCAUUGUUUAGCCUGGUACUUACAGAAACCUGGAGAAGCUCCUAAACUCCUGAUUUAUUGGACUGACAGCCUUGUGUCAGGAACUCCAUCUAGAUUCAGUGGCAGUGGAUCUAACAGUGAUUUCACUCUGACCAUCAGUGGAGUCCAGACUGAAGAUGCUGGACAUUAUUACUGUCAGAGUUACCACUGCAGAACAAAUUCUAGAAAUAGUUGUGUGGGUGACUAUGUGUUCACACAGUGAUAAAGCGUGGUACAAAAACCU